CCUACGGGGCGCUGCAGUGAGGAAUAUUGGUCAAUGGGCGGGAGCCUGAACCAGCCAAGCCGCGUGAAGGAAGAAGGCGCCAGGCGUCGUAAACUUCUUUUGUCGGGGAACAAAGGGCGCCACGUGUGGCGUUGUGAGUGUACCCGAAGAAAAAGCAUCGGCUAACUCCGUACCAGCAGCCGCGUUAAUACGGAGGAUGCGAGCGUUAUCCGGAUUUAUUGGGUUUAAAGGGUGCGUAGGCGGUCCGGAAAGUCAGCGGUAAAAGUCCGGGGCUCAACCCCGGCGAGCCGUUGAAACUGUGGGAAUGGAGGAGGCGAGAAGUACGCGGAAUGCGCGGUGUAGCGGUGAAAUGCAUAGAUAUCGCGUAGAACUCCGAUUGCGAAGGCAGCGUACCGGCGCCGGACUGACGCUGAGGCACGAAAGCGUGGGUAUCGAACAGGAUUAGAUACCCCAGUAGUG
rnacentral:rRNA from 1 species